rnacentral:rRNA from 1 species
CGCUAUCACUCCUACGGGAGGCAGCAGUGGGGAAUCUUGGACAAUGGGCGCAAGCCUGAUCCAGCCAUGCCGCGUGAGUGAUGAAGGCCCUAGGGUCGUAAAGCUCUUUCGCCUGUGAUGAUAAUGACAGUAGCAGGUAAAGAAACCCCGGCUAACUCCGUGCCAGCAGCCGCGGUAAUACGGAGGGGUUAGCGUUGUUCGGAAUUACUGGGCGUAAAGCGCGCGUAGGCGGACUAUUAAGUCAGAGGUGAAAUCCCGGGGCUCAACCCCGGAACUGCCUUUGAUACUGGUAGUCUAGAGUUCGAGAGAGGUGAGUGGAAUUCCGAGUGUAGAGGUGAAAAUUCGUAGAUAUUCGGAGGAACACCAGUGGCGAAGGCGGCUCACUGGCUCGAUACUGACGCUGAGGUGCGAAAGUGUGGGGAGCAAACAGGAUUAGAUACCCUGGUAG